AACGAACGCUGGCGGCAUGCCUAACACAUGCAAGUCGAACGAGACCUUCGGGUCUAGUGGCGCACGGGUGCGUAACGCGUGGGAACCUGCCCUUAGGUUCGGAAUAACUCCCCGAAAGGGGUGCUAAUACCGGAUAAUGUCUUCGGACCAAAGAUUUAUCGCCUUUGGAUGGGCCCGCGUUGGAUUAGCUAGUUGGUAGGGUAAAAGCCUACCAAGGCGACGAUCCAUAGCUGGUCUGAGAGGAUGAUCAGCCACACUGGGACUGAGACACGGCCCAGACUCCUACGGGAGGCAGCAGUGGGGAAUAUUGGACAAGGGGCGAAAGCCUGAUGCAGCAAUGCCGCGGGAGUGAUGAAGGCCUUAGGGUUGUAAAGCUCUUUUACCCGGGAUGAUAAUGACAGUACCGGGAGAAUAAGCUCCGGCUAACUCCGUG
rnacentral:rRNA from 1 species